UUUUCUUUUUUCUUUUUCUUUUCGAUACUAAGUCUCACUCUGUCGCCAGGCUGGAGUGCAGUGGCGCGAUCUCGGCUCACUGCAACCUCCGCCUCCCGGGUUCAAGGGAUUCUCCUGCCUCAGCCUCCCGAGUAGCUGGGACUACAGGCGUGUGCCACCACGCCCAGAUAAUUUUUGUAUUUUUAGUAGAGAUGGGGUUUCACCAUGUUGGCCAGAAUGGUCUCGAUUUCCUGACCUCAAGUGAUCCGCCCGACUCGGCCUCCCAGAGUGCUGGAAUUACAGGCGUGGACUGGCCAUCCUCUUUGAUUGCUAUCUCCAUGCGUUCCGGUCAAGGCACGGGAUGGGGUCUCCAGUUCAGUUGAAAUUUCCAAAAAUCACGGCCUGGAAAAAAUCAGACGCUGAUUUCCAGAGAUUCCCCAGAGCUGCCGCGAGGGGGCGCCCGGCGCUGCCAAACCCGGAGGGCCGCGCGCGCGAACCGUGUCCGAUCCGCACGGCGGCGUCCUGGGGCGUCCACUGUGAGGACGGAGCUUCCUCUCCUCAGGACCCACCCGGGAGGGGCCGGGGCUUGGGACAGCUGGGGCCGCGUCCGCUGUGAGGACAGGGAGACGCUGCUGCAGCUCCGGGACACCUGGGGCCGCCGAGGCGAAGGUUGGAGUGCAAUGGCGCGAUCUCGGCUCACUGCAGUCUCCGCCUCCCGGGUUCAAGCGAUUCUCCCGCCUCAGCCUCCCGAGUAGCUGGGAUUACAGGCAUGCGCCAGCACGCCCGGCUAAUUUUGUAUUUUUAGUAGAGACGGGGUUUCUCCAUGUUGGUCAGGCUGGUCUCGAACUCCCAACCUCAUCAGGUGAUCCACCCACCUCGGCCUCCCAAAGUGCUGGGAUUACAGGCGUGAGCCACCGCGCCUGGUCAGUGCGCCGUGUUUUCAGGCUCAUUUGUUAACAUAGUGGAAACAACACAGGAAAAUGGAAAAGUAGGCACAUUAUCAUGCGCACCCCACUGCACUCAAGCCCUGGGCAACAGAGCGAGACCUUGUCUCAAAAAACAAAAACAAAUGAAAACAAAACCAAAAAAACCAUUGUGUGCGUCUAAUGGAAGUGAACUCAUCAACAACAGUUUUUCUUUUGUUGAGAAAGUCUGUUUAAUUUGCAGUGUAUUUGUAAUGGUACGUAAAAUGACGUCUGUUUUAUAAACAUUCUCAUCCUAAGUUAGUUGAAAUGUAUUAACUAUAUCAAGCUUUGACAUGAUACCAUAAAAUUAAUUGAAGAAAGUCACUACUCUUUUUUCCCUUGGCCUUGACCAUUUUAAAUAAAAUCAGAUUUCGUUAAGGUUACUUAAUACUGAGCUGUAAACCUGUAUGGCCCUGCAGUGUCUUUUCUUAUCUUUUUUUUUUCUUGUUUUUUUUUUUUUUUUUUUUUUUUUGAGAUGGAGUCUAGCUCUGUCUCCCAGGCUGGAGUGCAGUGGCGUGAUCUCAGCUCACUGUAACCUCCACCUCCCAGGUUGAAGCAAUUCUCUGUCUCAGCCUCCCCAAGAGCUGGGAUUACAGGCGCCUGCCACAACGCCCAGCUAAUUUUUUUGUAUUUUUAGUAGAGAUGGGGUUUCACCAUCUUGGCCAGGCUGGUCUUGAACUUCUGACCACGUGAUCCACCUGCCUUGGCCUCCCAAAGUGUUGGGAUUACACGUGUGAGCCACUGAGCCCAGCCUCUUUUUUUGACAUGGAGUCUCACUUUGUUGCCUAGGCUGGACUGCAGUGGCGCGAUCUCAGCUCACUGCAACCUCCGCCUCCCGGGUUCAAGCACUUCUCCUGCAUCAGCCUCCUGAGUCUCUGGGAUUACAGGCCUGCAUCACCACGCUGGGCUAAUUUUGUAUUUUUAAUAGAGGUGGGGUUUCACCAUGUUGGCCAGGCUGGUCUCGAACUCCUGACCUCAAGUGAUCCACCCGCCUUGGCCUCCCAAAGUGCUGGGAUUGCAGGUAGUCCUGAGCCACCACGCCUGGCUGCUUUUUUUUUUUUUUCAAUUAAAAAAAUUUUUUUUUGUUUGUUUUUUGAGAUGGAGUUUAGCUCCUGUUGCCCAGGCUGAAGUCCAAUGUCCCGAUCUUGGCUCACUGCAACCUCUGCCUCCUGGUGAAAUGCCUAACCUUGUUUUUACUUCAACUUGUUACUUUGAAUUUUGUCCUGUUUGUCUCUUUAAAUUACCUAGCCUUGCUUCUCAUGUAAAUGAGACUCUCUCUAGCUAGGAAAGCCGACAAACUCCAACUGACCCCUUAAUUUACAAGACACUAGGGAUCCUCACUCAAACCCCUUUCCUGAGGAGUUGUCCUGGGUAAACAGGUCCUCAGCAUUUCAAAGGAGCCCAGUUAACUGAUAAGUUACCAACACCAACAAUGUACGAAGUUCCCAGGAAUUUUCUCCAAGAGAUAACAACAUACAACCUUGAGUUUGUGUCUGGCAUAGACCCUAUAUCUAAUUAUAAUGAAAGAUUUAGAAGCUUGCACCUCUUACCGUUGCUCUUCUUGUAACCAUUUGCCUUUUAAGUUGUUUAUCACUCUGUAACCAUUUUGAUUCUUUUGAUUUUUGCAUGUUUUUACUUCUGUAGAAUUAUUACAUUUGAGUCCCCCUCCCCUUCCUAAACCUAGGUAUAAAAGUUAAUCGAGCCCCUUCCUCGUGGCCAAGAGAAUUUUGAGCAUUAGCCGUCUCUUUGGCUGCCAGCUUAAUAAAGGACUCUUAAUUC